rnacentral:rRNA from 2 species
UAACCUGCCCAUAAGACUGGGAUAACUCCGGGAAACCGGGGCUAAUACCGGAUAACAUUUUGAACCGCAUGGUUCGAAAUUGAAAGGCGGCUUCGGCUGUCACUUAUGGAUGGACCCGCGUCGCAUUAGCUAGUUGGUGAGGUAACGGCUCACCAAGGCAACGAUGCGUAGCCGACCUGAGAGGGUGAUCGGCCACACUGGGACUGAGACACGGCCCAGACUCCUACGGGAGGCAGCAGUAGGGAAUCUUCCGCAAUGGACGAAAGUCUGACGGAGCAACGCCGCGUGAGUGAUGAAGGCUUUCGGGUCGUAAAACUCUGUUGUUAGGGAAGAACAAGUGCUAGUUGAAUAAGCUGGCACCUUGACGGUACCUAACCAGAAAGCCACGGCUAACUACGUGCCAGCAGCCGC